rnacentral:rRNA from 1 species
UACGAAGGGGGCUAGCGUUGCUCGGAAUCACUGGGCGUAAAGGGUGCGUAGGCGGGUCUUUUAAGUCAGGGGUGAAAUCCUGGAGCUCAACUCCAGAACUGCCUUUGAUACUGAAGAUCUUGAGUUCGGGAGAGGUGAGUGGAACUGCGAGUGUAGAGGUGAAAUUCGUAGAUAUUCGCAAGAACACCAGUGGCGAAGGCGGCUCACUGGCCCGAUACUGACGCUGAGGCACGAAGCAUGGGAGGCAAACAGG